AUCCGACAUUCAACAACAGCCUUCCACAGAUUCAGAAGCGGAGGUUGAAGAGUUCACAAUAUACGAGUGUCCUGGAUUAGCGCCAACAGGCGAGAUGGAAAUCCACAAUCCAUUAUUUGACCCAUAGUGGACAAGUCUUGAUUUUGUGCUUGCUGAAAAAUCUGCUUCCUAUAUACUGCUAUAUAUACCUCUGUAUGUGACCUGUUGAACGGCGUAAAUUAAAGACAGAAAGUGGCUGUGUUGUUCUUUGUCCUCACGCAAGAAGACAUCUUCAGAACCUUGUGCCUUCCAAACAGCGUUUAAAAGGGACGCGAAGCCCAACAAUUUUCUUUCAUGAUUCAGAUAGAGCAUACAAUUUUAAAAAAACAUUUCAAAUUGACUUCUAUUAUCAAAUUUGCUUUGCUCAGUCUCCUGUUAUUCUUGGUUAAUGAGAUAUCUAGAUAGGCAGCGUGCACAUGCCUGUAGCACUAUAUGACAGUAAAUAGUGCUGCCAUCUAGUUUAACAUUAUUGCUGCAGACAAUUGUUUUAAAAAAAAAAAAGGGUAGCAAGAAAACAAAGAAAAUUUGGUAAUAGAAAUAAAUUGGAAAGUUGUUUAUAAUGUUAUGUUCUAUCUGAAUCAUGAAAGAGAAAUUUUGGGUUUUACUGUAUGUCCCUUUAAGAUUAUUUUCCAGAUCAACUGCCUCAAACUGCAAAUUCUACUGAAAAUUGAUUGUUCAGACUCUUCACGUAUACUUUACUUGCACACUACACUUAGAGCAUUUUCAUUUUUACACCAGAGAAUCUCUAUUUUAGUAGAAUUUUUUUUUUUACGGAACAGUAAACAUUCCCGGCAAACACGUAAAGCGCCUGACUUGUGAGUAUAGUCAUAAUUGUAUUCAUUUGUAAGGAUAUACUACACAAUGAGGCCUACUAUUAGAGUUGGAUCUUUUAAACUUAAUCAUUAAAAGUGUUUUUAGUGUCACACAUUUAGUAAUUGUUUAUCAAAACGUGUGUAGAAACGAGAUUUUAGUGAUACACAUAUGACAGUAACUCAAACUUUUAAAUAUGCAUUUUAAAAAUGUUUGUUUUUGGGUAAAUGUGCUCGUCUCCCUAGAGAGGUUAAAAAGCAAAUUCUGUUACCUUAGGUUUCAAAAUAAUGCAAAUCAAAACGCUUGUUUAGGCAAAUUGCGGUUGUUACGGUAUAACCCGGAUACCAAGGGCUAAUACCAGAUGAAAGAUGCCCUGAAUGUGGGAUCAGCAACACACACAAACCCAGCUAUUUCCCCCCAAACAUGAGACCAGGCUCCACAUUGAAGGUAAAAACAGAAUGCACUUUAUUGAGGGCUAUAUGCCCAGUAUUUAUGCAGGUCUGAGACCAGAUGGGGGGUUGGCAGUAUUGUACAUUAGAUAGAGGGAAGAUGCCCUUUGACAUGAUACAAUAGAAUUACAUUACUUAACCAAAUAAACAAUUUAAACACAAGAAAACAAUUGAGUCCUUCUUAUCACUUGGAAGUCUGCUCUCUGGAUGUGAUUAAACAAUGUGAAUGCUUAUCACUAAAACUUAAUUACAGUACACAAUAGCUGAUGCUAGCAAACCUGUCUCAGAAAAUAGUUUCUCAAAGCUGAACAAAGUUAACCCUUCCAGUACUGACAGAGGGGUCUGUCACAGCGGUAUUUUGAAAACCUACUUUACAGAAUUUGGUUUUUAAUCUCCCUAGGAAUCAUGGGUCUAGCACAAUAUUUACAUUUAAUGUUUUUCAAAUAAAACACUACUCAAGACGUUGACUAUAUACUAUAUUAAUUAUAGGAAAACAAUAUAUAGUACAUUUACUUUGAGGAUUAACAUGGUAUAAGGAUUCUGUGUAUCACUACAGAUAAUACACUGUACUGUAUAAUUGAGUCAAGUUUAAAUAAAAAUGUAUUGUGUAAUGAA